ensembl:lncRNA
GUGGGAAUGUGUGGAGUUGAGACAUUUUGUCAUAGACGAUCCCGACUGGUGAUCGUGAGUGGAAUGACGUCCCGCCCGCUCUGCUGCAUUGUAAUUUGAGGUAAACGGGAGACGUCACAAAUACCGGUUUUGCGGAGGGUUUUGUGAACAAGCCUCAGCACUCCCUCUCCCUCCACUACAGAGGCCCUCUGCUAUUAAGACAUGCCGCAACAGUUUGACGCCACGUGAAUAUUGACACCGCUGCAUAAAACGUAAACCAGGGGACAUUUUUGUGGGACAACAGGAGACACACUCGUUCCGCUCACUCUCACUUUCGAGCAACAGAGAAGAUGCAGUUGGUGGGGAACUUGUGUGUUUUGGCGCUGGUGUCAUUUGCGUUGGUUACAGCUGAACAAAACCGAACCUCGGCGCCGUUGCAUGCGAUGGAUCUUCAGCGAGACAGGUUGGCAAACACAACGGCACCUCCAGCCAGACCGACCCUGCUCUGGCUGAUUCAUCAGUCCUUAAGCCACACGCAGAAACCUAAGGAACUUAAGGGAGAUGACUCAAAAGGCGGGGGGGGGGAUAAGAAGCAGGAACCAGAGGAAAAGAAGAAGGAACCAGAGGACAAGAAGAAGGAACCCGACGACAAGAAGAAGGAACCGGAGGACUAUAUAGACCCAGCAGUCAGGACCCGCAAGGAAGGCUGCAAGAUCUUCUACUGGAAGUCCUGGACGGCCUGCUGAAGCUCUCUGCAGCUAAGAAGACAACGUAUACUCACACCUUGGAGCGUACUUAUAAUUUAGGUUCUGGAGCAGGCCAAGUGCUGUGAAGGGUUAAGUGUAUAAACCUUAACAAUAUCAUCCACUGCCUGGAUCUAAAAGUCCUCGUCUUCUGAAGGUUAUCGUCUUGGCAGUACAGGAUAUGUGUUCAGGAUUCAGGGCACUUCAAUAAAUAGCCCUUCAUGCUACUAUCUUUUUGGAGACUUUGAUCUGGUUCAAAUCCAAGUGCAGCAAUUGCCUUGCGGCUUUGCUCUCUACUAAGUCCUUCUCUUAGUCUCUUUGGAGCAUGAAAGCAGAGUAACGCCAAACAUCAGACUCUUCUGUCCCAGCUUACUACUACUCUGUUUUCUCAAAGUAUGAAAACGAGCUGUUGUUUACUGUAAUCAAGUUGGGUGCUGUCAUCCUAAAACAUGUUUUAUGACACUCAAUAAAGUAUAUUAUAUAUAUACAUUUUCCUAAAAUUGUAGUGGUUGACUUUGUGGUUUGGGUCGGUUCUGUCACUCCCUCCGUCUUCUCCAGCUUCCAGACCAUCAGAGGAGGCUGUUCUCCUCCAUCUUGGAUCUACGGAUCCUCGUUCCCUGUGUGAUAAAUGUCUGCAGUGCAUGUGAUGUUUCUCAAUGAUCUGCUCAAUAGACUACGAGGCAAUAAAGCCGCGUCGUUACAUACAUUCAUCUCACACACUUUAAUCUACUUGAUGCAAGGCAUAGUGUCCAGUGAAGGCUUUAUAGUUGUAUUAAGAAUGUGUGUUCGAUUGUGUGCGUGUGUGUGUGUGUGUGUGUGUGUGUGUGUGUGUGUGUGUGUGUGUGUGUGUGUGUGUGUGUGUGUGUGUGUGUGUGUGUGUGUGUGUGUGUGUGUGUGUGUGUGUGUGUGUAUGCAUUUGUGCAUGAUGUGUUUGUAUAUCAGUGUCACUUUAGAACGAUUGAAUAGAAAGUGUUCCUCUAACUAAUGGGUACUAUCGGUAACUACAGUUUUCAUUCAUUCAUUCUGGCAAAGUCUGUAGUUCUGUGAAAUGAUCAAUAGCAGC